rnacentral:rRNA from 1 species
CGUGCUUAACACAUGCAAGUCGAACGGUGAAAGCAGAGCUUGCUCUGCUGGAUCAGUGGCGAACGGGUGAGUAACACGUGAGUAACCUGCCCUUGACUCUGGGAUAAGCGUUGGAAACGACGUCUAAUACCGGAUAUGACCUCCGACGGCAUCGUCUGGGGGUGGAAAGAAUUUUGGUUGAGGAUGGACUCGCGGCCUAUCAGCUUGUUGGUGAGGUAAUGGCUCACCAAGGCGACGACGGGUAGCCGGCCUGAGAGGGUGACCGGCCACACUGGGACUGAGACACGGCCCAGACUCCUACGGGAGGCAGCAGUGGGGAAUAUUGCACAAUGGGCGCAAGCCUGAUGCAGCAACGCCGCGUGAGGGAUGACGGCCUUCGGGUUGUAAACCUCUUUUAGUAGGGAAGAAGCGAAAGUGACGGUACCUGCAGAAAAAGCACCGGCUAACUACGUGCCAGCAGCCGCGGUAAUACGUAGGGUGCAAGCGUUGUCCGGAAUUAUUGGGCGUAAAGAGCUCGUAGGCGGUUUGUCGCGUCUGCUGUGAAAACUGGAGGCUCAACCUCCAGCCUGCAGUGGGUACGGGCAGACUAGAGUGCGGUAGGGGAGAUUGGAAUUCCUGGUGUAGCGGUGGAAUGCGCAGAUAUCAGGAGGAACACCGAUGGCGAAGGCAGAUCUCUGGGCCGUAACUGACGCUGAGGAGCGAAAGCGUGGGGAGCGAACAGGAUUAGAUACCCUGGUAGUCCACGCCGUAAACGUUGGGAACUAGAUGUG